GAUGAAGAACGUAGCGAAAUGCGAUAAGUAAUGUGAAUUGCAGAAUUCAGUGAAUCAUCGAAUCUUUGAACGCACCUUGCGCUCUUUGGUAUUCCGAAGAGCAUGCCUGUUUGAGUGUCAUGAAAAUAUCAACCUUGACUUGGGUUUUGUGCUCUAGUCUCGGCUUGGAAUUGGGUGCUUGCCGCUUUUACGAGCGGCUCACCUUAAAUGUAUUAGCUGGAUCUGUCUUUGAGACUUGGUUUGACUUGGCGUAAUAAGUAUUUCGCUAAGGACAUUCUUCGGAGUGGCCUCGUUUCUAGGACGCUUGUCCGCUUUCCAAUACAAGUUCCACCUCGUGGACAUGACUUUUUAUUAUCUGGCCUCAAAUCAGGUAGGACUACCCGCUGAACUUAAGCAUAUCAAUAACGGAGA
rnacentral:misc_RNA from 1 species